rnacentral:rRNA from 1 species
CGAACGCGAAAGCCUCCUUCGGGGGGCAAGUAGAGUGGCGCACGGGUGAGUAACACGUAGGUAAUCUACCUUUGGAUUGGGAAUAACCACCGGAAACGGUGGCUAAUACCGAAUAAUGCAGCGGCACCUAAUGGUGACAGUUGUUAAAGCGGGGGAUCGCAAGACCUCGCGUCUGAAGAGGAGCCUGCGGCAGAUUAGCUAGUUGGUAAGGUAACGGCUUACCAAGGCGAUGAUCUGUAGCCGGCCUGAGAGGGCGGUCGGCCACACUGACACUGACAUACGGGUCAGACUCCUACGGGAGGCAGCAGUCGGGAAUUUUGGGCAAUGGGCGAAAGCCUGACCCAGCAACGCCGCGUGAAGGAUGAAAUCCCUCGGGAUGUAAACUUCGCAAGAACGGGAAGAAUAAGUAAGGGUUAAUAUCUCUUACGAUGACGGUACUGUUUGUAAGCUCCGGCUAACUCCGUGCCAGCAGCCGCGGUAAUACGGGGGGAGCAAGCGUUGUUCGGAUUUACUGGGGCGUAAAGGGCGCGUAGGCGGCCACCGCAAGUCGACUGUGAAAUCUCCGGGCUUAACCCGGAAAGGUCAGCCGAUACUGCGGGGCUAGAGUGCAAAAGGGGCAACUGGAAUUCUCGGUGUAGCGGUGAAAUGCGUAGAUAUCGAGAGAACACCUGCGGCGAAGGCGGGUUGCUGGGCUGACACUGACGCUGAGGCGCGAAAGCUAGGGGAGCGAACGGGAUUAGAUACCCCGGUAGUCCUAGCCUUAAACGAUGAAUGCUUGGUGUCUGGGGGUUUUAUAGUCC